CACCUUCUGGAGAAUCACGAUGUUCUUAAUUGGGUGUCGUGUGGAUCCAGGACCUUUACCUUGAAAAAAUUAGAGUGUUUAAAGCAGGCAUUUUUGCUCGAAUACAUUAGCAUGGAAUAAUAAAAUAGGACGGCUUGGUUCUAUUUUGUUGGUUUCUAGGAUCACCGUAAUGAUUAAUAGGGAUAGUUGG
rnacentral:rRNA from 1 species